ACCCCCGAGACACCCCCAGGGACGUGGCCGGGGCAGCUCAGGGAAGUGGUACUUGCCCCGUGUAGUCCUCACGAGCAUCCCUGCGCAGGACCCCCUCCCCACCGCAGACCCUGGAAUUUCUCCACCCCCUGACUUGAAGGAUGGCUCCACUGUGACACCCCUGCUCCCAGCAAGCAGGCCUGGGCCCAACCCUGGCAGCCUGUGUAGACAGACCUGCCUGCCCGCAUGGCCACACGACACUGGACACCCAGAGCCAGGGCGGCAGGGUCUCUGUCCGCCGGCACCUCAGUGGACCAUCCCGCCUUUCUUGCUGUGACACCCCUACAAAGCCCUGUGGAGGGCGCCCCCUGCUGCAGAGAGCACAGCAUUGCCGGGGAAUCCAGGAGCACAAACUUAACUCGGGGGCUAGAUCCUUCCGAUGAAUUCCAGGCUCCUUUCCCUGCCCCCCAGCCUCCUGCUUGAUCAGCUGAGAAGGCAGAGGCCCAAGCUCCAGUCUAGCUCCCGGGGUCACUCUCAGUGACUCCAGUGACCAACCUAGGCAUUUGUGGAAUAAACAAACUCGCCAGCAGUAUUUACUGAGCACCUACUGCGUGCUGGCCCGGUCCCAAGCUGAGAAACAACGUGGUGACUACAACCAAGAUGCUCACUGCUGAAACACUCCGAAAGUGAAUGGGCUGCCAAACUGCCAAGCCACCCCCACCCCCACCCUCCAUCUAGUCGUCUUGGCUGAGUUCCCUCUUCAGCACGCCAGCUUCCCUUGGUCACACCCUUGCACCUGUCUCCACCCUUCCCUUUCCCAGCACCAGCCCAAUGAUCACUCCCCUAGUCCCCACCCUCCUGUUGCCCACAGCCUGCCCAAGGAGAGUCUGCACUCUUGCUGGUGUGUUCCUGGUUCCAUGACCUUUGCAGCCUCCCCCAGCCCAGGUCCCACUCUACUGGCCACUGCUGAACCUCACAGCUCCAGGGCUCUCCUAAUCUGCCUGCCUUGUCCAGCUCAGUAAUUCAAAACAAAAUUCCUGGAGGCCAGUGGGCCCCAGUUUACAAGCUCCAUCUGCUGCCACCCCAUGGACUCACAGGCCAAGCCUCUCCCACCUCCACGCUGCACCUGGGUGCCAGGAAAGCCAGCCACACACAGAGCCCACCUCAGGGGGCACAGGAAGCCCUCUCGGACUGCAGCGAGCUCAAGGCCCCAGUUGCAGACCCCCCUCUGCGGAGCUACCCCCGGGGAGGUAGAGUGGGCGCUGUGCAGGAGGGAGGCAGGGUAGGGUUUCUGGAGGAAGGAGCCCAUGGAAGAAGCCUCCAAGAGCAACACUGAGAAGGUCAGGGGGCAAGUGCAGAAGCCCUCUAUGGCCAGCAGGGCACAGGAGCUGCUGGGGGGGGAGUGUUAUCUGUCAAUGCCCCCCACACCAACCCCGGCAGUGGCUAUGAUCCAGCCGCAGCCCGUGGACUGAGUUCAAACCCCCAUACUGAAGCCAAACCCUCCC